rnacentral:rRNA from 1 species
AUUGAACGCUGGCGGCGUGCUUAACACAUGCAAGUCGAUCGGUAACGCGGGGGCACCCCUGGCGACGAGAGGCGGACGGGUGAGGAACGCUUGGGAAUCUGCCUAUCAGCGGGGGACAACCCGGGGAAACUCGGGCUAAUACCGCAUCCGCUCUACGGAGGAAAGCCGGGGACCGCAAGGCCUGGCACUGAUAGAAGAGCCCAAGUCGGAUUAGCUAGUUGGCGGGGUAACGGCCCACCAAGGCGACGAUCCGUAGCUGGUCUGAGAGGACGAUCAGCCACACUGGGACUGAGACACGGCCCAGACUCCUACGGGAGGCAGCAGUGGGGAAUAUUGGACAAUGGGGGAAACCCUGAUCCAGCGACGCCGCGUGGGUGAAGAAGGCCUGCGGGUUGUAAAGCCCUUUCGGUAGGGACGGAAGCUCUCGACCUAACACGUCGGGAGGUUGACUUAACCUACAAAAGAAGCACCGGCUAACUCUGUGCCAGCAGCCGCCGUAACAC